CAGCAGCCGCGGUAAUACGUAGGGUGCAAGCGUUAAUCGGAAUUACUGGGCGUAAAGCGUGCGCAGGCGGUUAUGUAAGACAGUUGUGAAAUCCCCGGGCUCAACCUGGGAACUGCAUCUGUGACUGCAUAGCUAGAGUACGGUAGAGGGGGAUGGAAUUCCGCGUGUAGCAGUGAAAUGCGUAGAUAUGCGGAGGAACACCGAUGGCGAAGGCAAUCCCCUGGACCUGUACUGACGCUCAUGCACGAAAGCGUGGGGAGCAAACAGGAUUAGAUACCCCUGUAGUCCCUGUCUCUUAUAU
rnacentral:rRNA from 1 species